rnacentral:rRNA from 1 species
UGGCGGACGGGUGAGUAACACGUGAGUAAUCUUCCUACGAGAGAGGGAUAACUUUGCGAAAGCGAAGCUAAUACCUCAUAAGACCACAGUACAUAAGUACCGGGGUCAAAGAUGGCCUAUGCUUGCAAGCUAUCACUUGUAGAUGAGCUCGCGCACCAUUAGCUUGUUGGUGGGGUAAUGGCCUACCAAGGCAACGAUGGUUAGCCGACCUGAGAGGGUGAUCGGCCACAUUGGGACUGAGAUACGGCCCAAACUCCUACGGGAGGCAGCAGUGGGGAAUUUUGCGCAAUGGGGGAAACCCUGACGCAGCGACGCCGCGUGGAGGAUGAAGGCCUUCGGGUUGUAAACUCCUUUUAGGUGAGACGAAUCCUCGGCUUGAAAAUAUCGAGCCGGUCUGACGGUACCACCAGAAAAAGCCCCGGCUAACUCCGUGCCAGCAGCCGCGGUAAUACGGAGGGGGCAAGCGUUGUUCGGAAUUAUUGGGCGUAAAGCGCGCGUAGGCGGUUAAAUAAGUCAGGCGUGAAAGCCCACGGCUUAACCGUGGAAUUGCGCAUGAAACUGUUUAGCUAGAGUUCAGGAGAGGAGAGUGGAAUUCCCAGUGUAGCGGUGAAAUGCGUAGAUAUUGGGAGGAACACCGGUGGCGAAGGCGACUCUCUGGACUGAUACUGACGCUGAGGCGCGAAAGCGUGGGGAGCAAACGGGAUUAGAUACCCCGGUAGUCCACGCUGUAAACGAUGGGUACUAGGUGUAGGAAGCUUCAACCCUUUCUGUGCCGCAGCUUACGCAUUAAGUACCCCGCCUGGGGAGUACGGUCGCAAGGCUAAACUCAAGGAAUUGACGGGGGCCCGCACAAGCGGUGGAGCAUGUGGUUUAAUUCG